rnacentral:rRNA from 1 species
UGGGGAAUAUUGGACAAUGGGGGCAACCCUGAUCCAGCAAUGCCGCGUGUGUGAAGAAGGUCUUCGGAUUGUAAAGCACUUUCGACGGGGACGAUGAUGACGGUACCCGUAGAAGAAGCCCCGGCUAACUUCGUGCCAGCAGCCGCGGUAAUACGAAGGGGGCUAGCGUUGCUCGGAAUGACUGGGCGUAAAGGGCGUGUAGGCGGUUUACACAGUCAGAUGUGAAAUCCCCGGGCUUAACCUGGGAGCUGCAUUUGAUACGUGUAGACUAGAGUGUGAGAGAGGGUUGUGGAAUUCCCAGUGUAGAGGUGAAAUUCGUAGAUAUUGGGAAGAACACCGGUGGCGAAGGCGGCAACCUGGCUCAUGACUGACGCUGAGGCGCGAAAGCGUGGGGAGCAAACAGGUUAGAUACCCUGGUAGUCCACGCUGUAAACGAUGUGUGCUAGAUGUUGGGUAACUUUGUUAUUCAGUGUCGCAGUUAAC